UACGAAGGGGGCUAGCGUUGUUCGGAAUUACUGGGCGUAAAGCGUGCGCAGGCGGUUCGUUAAGUCAGCUGUGAAAGCCCCGGGCUCAACCUGGGAAUGGCGGUUGAAACUGGCGAACUAGAAUCUGGCAGAGGGGGGUGGAAUUCCACGUGUAGCAGUGAAAUGCGUAGAGAUGUGGAGGAACACCGAUGGCGAAGGCAGCCCCCUGGGCUGAGAUUGACGCUCAGGCACGAAAGCGUGGGGAGCAAACAGG
rnacentral:rRNA from 1 species